CCACAUCAUGUUGAGACACCACUUCCUCUACAAUCACUGAAGUUAAGCAAAGUCGAGCCUGGUCAGUAUCUCAAUUGGAGACCGCUUGGGAAUAUCAGGUGCUGUAAG